rnacentral:rRNA from 1 species
GACGAACGUUGGCGGCGUGCUUAAUACAUGCAAGUCAACUGAAGCAGUGGUAGCAAUAUCGCUGUGGAGGUGGCGCACGGGUGAGUAACACGUAGGUAAUCUGCCUUCAGGUCUGGCAUAGCUCCGGGAAACCGGGGCUAAUAGCAGAUGAUGCAGCGGCUCGACAUCGAGACAGUUGUUAAAGCUAUGGCGCCUGAAGAUGAGCCUGCGUCUGAUUAGCUAGGUGGCGGGGUAACGGCCCACCAAGGCAACGAUCAGUAGCUGGUCUGAGAGGAUGAUCAGCCACACUGGAACUGAGACACGGUCCAGACUCCUACGGGAGGCAGCAGUCAGGAAUAUUGCUCAAUGGGCGAAAUCCUGAAGCAGCAACGCCGCGUGAGGGACGAAGGGCUUUUGCUUGUAAACCUCUGUAGUGAGAGAAAAAAAUCCCAAUCUUUGGGACAUGAUGGUAUCUCAAAAGUAAGCCCCGGCUAACUACGUG